ACACAUAGUAAAUUAAGGAAUUAAGGAUUCGUACUUAAUAAUGAACUAAGUCAAAAAAUUGGUCCACAUCAGACAAGGAAAAAUUCGAAUAGGUUCACAUAAUGGUGGUCUGAAAUCAAUCCCCAAAAAUUAGGGUUAAUUUUGAGAGGAAAAUGUCUGACUAUUAAGGAUGAAUAUGCAGAGGCUAAAAUUAAACACAGAGUGGUCAUACAAUCAAAAUAGAAGAACAUAGCUAUGCGGGAAAUCAGAGGGUCUUGCAAAGCUUAGCAAGAAUUAGAGAACAUGAGACGAAUUUAGAGAUUAGGGGUUUUGAAAUCUGACAGGAAACAACACUAGAAUCAAAACAAUCAUACACACAUGGUUUAGAACCCCCGAUAUUUAGGGUUUUCCCCCACAGCUUACAUGCAAAGGCGAAGCAUAGAAAAUCAGGCAAAAUAAACUUAGAAAAACCCAAAGAACACAGAUAUUUCAUGGAAGCAAACACGGUAAAAGAAAUCACUAUAAACCUUAGGAGGAAAACACAGUAAAGAAAAUACACAGAAACCACGGUGAAAACAUUUAGGAGUUAUAGUAGGCAAAUAAUGUACGAAAUCACAGUAGAAUAAAUAAAAAUCAAGGAAACCCUAGGUUCGAGAAGACGAACCUUUUUGAAAGAAAAAAAAUCAAAAAAAG
rnacentral:lncRNA from 1 species